GCUGGGCAUGGUGGCGUGUGCCUGUAAUCCCAGCUACUCGGGAGGCUGAGGCAGGAGAAUCACUUGAAUCCGGGAGGCGGAGGUUGCAGUGAGCCGAUAUUGUGUCACUGCACUCCAGCCUGGGUGACAGAGCGAGACUCUGUCUCCA
rnacentral:SRP_RNA from 1 species